AAAUGGGCCAUACUGUCUCAAAGAUGAGACCGGAUGGAGAUGCUGCAGGGAAGGUCCCUGAGCCUGGCAUCCAGCAGGAGGCUGUGGGCAGAGAAGAAGAGAGGGAGGUCUCUGACUCACCGAGAGCCUACAGAGAUGAGACAGAAAACGGUGCAGGACAGAAGGCAACACUGGUCUUGUUGGAGGCUUAUAGGAACGUGGUGACCAGACCAACGCCGACAGCUGAGAGAACAAAGGAUUUGGCACCAGGAAGUUUGCAACGACCAGCCACACCCCCUCCCCUUUCAGUGUAACAAUCUGAGUUCUAACUCGGGUAAGAUGGGUCUUUGGGACAACAGUGGGCCAUCUUCACAGUCUGCUGGCUCUCUGAAUCAAGUCACUAUUCCUUGCCCCAACACCUCAUCUUUCCCUUGUCCUGAGGCGAGCAGUGUGACCUAUAAAAUCCUACUUCCUUCCAGCCAGAGGCCACCCCCGCCGUCUCCCUGCUCCAGCUCAGAAAGGCAACAGAGGGACCGAGGCCUGAGUUCUCUGUGGGUUCCACAAGGGUCCUGCGGCCAGAUGGGACCACCGCAAUCCAGGCCCGGCCACCUCCCAGCCGUGCGGCCAGGGGCAGCUGCUUCUCCCCUCUGAGUCUUGGUUUUCUCAUCUGUAAAAAGGGGUUGCAGGGUUCCCGGAUGAUUCCCCGGCCUUCUGAAGGCUCAAGUUCCCAGGGGGCGCUCAGCCUGGCCCCCCCACCCCCCAGAGCCUUCUGCUGUCUCAGUCUCCCUGUCUGCCCUCCAAGCCUGGUGAGGGAGUGUCUGCCCUUAGGGUGCGGCCUGCCCAGGCCCAGGGAACCACCUCCUGAGAAAAGAGAAUUUCAGGUGACAGGAGCCCCUCCUGGUCCUUGCCUAUGGCGGUGCGUGUGUGCGUGCGUGCGUGCGUGCGUGCGUGCGUAUGGGUGUGGGUGUGGGCGUGAACAGUGGCACUGCUUUGCCACCGGCCCCUCACCGUUCUCCUUUACACCCCUAAAGCACCCCAGAUACAACUUAAUAAGAGUAUCCUAAUUACUAUUAUUAUUAUUUCCUCUUUUGCUAGCAAUAGUAUAUUUUAAUAAUUUGCUAUGGACAAGUGUCGCUCUCCAUCUCCUAAAAA